rnacentral:lncRNA from 1 species
CUGUACAGAAUAUUGUGACCAUUUGGAAUGCAGGUGUUCAUGUUUGCUAUUUUCCCCCAAAUAUUCUUUUAGAUAACCUCUUACCUCUGAAAGAAUGAAAGAGACAGAAGCAUUAUAUGUGCAUUACAGAAAAUGGUUAAGGAAUUACUUAACAGUAACAGCAUGACUGUGUUUUGAUUUAUUUUUUCUAAAAUAUUGAAACAGAAAAAUAAGAGAAAGGAGGACGUUGCUUUUGUAUUAAUAGUUCCUCAAGAUCUUAAAAAGGAACAUCUGAUCUUGGGAAACAAGAGGUAAGUAGA